rnacentral:misc_RNA from 1 species
UCGCGGCUUAUCACCGGCAGUCUCCUUAGAGUGCUCAACUAAAUGGUAGCAACUAAGGACGGGGGUUGCGCUCGUUGCGGGACUUAACCCAACAUCUCACGACACGAGCUGACGACAGCCAUGCAGCACCUAGUUUCGCGCCCCGAAGGGAAGAGUGCUUUCACACUCGGUCGCUAACUUUCAAGCCCAGGUAAGGUUCCUCGCGUAUCAUCGAAUUAAACCACAUGCUCCUCCGCUUGUGCGGGCCCCCGUCAAUUCCUUUGAGUUUCAACCUUGCGGUCGUACUUCCCAGGUGGAUUACUUAACGCUUUAGCUUAGUCGCUGACAGUAUAUCGCCAACAACGAGUAAUCAACGUUUAGGGCGUGGACUAC